rnacentral:lncRNA from 1 species
AGUGGUUAAAAGAUAGAACAGUCUAGUCAAGUGCCAUGUCUCUUAUUCUUGAUCAGCUAUAGCUCUGGAGUUUUUGCAGAUUUUCAAAUAAAACUCAGAGAUUCCUUGUAUGACUCUCUCAGAUCUCUCUUUUGUGGUAUUUCUGGAUCCUUACCAAGGCAGUGAUGGUAUAUUCCUUCUCUCAAAAUAUGUGGUAUUUAUGGUAUAAAGCAUAAUGACAUUGCCUUCUCUCUCACCCUACUCUAAUAAGGCUUUAAUAUCUGGAGCUCAUAGGUGGGAGAUAAAGUAUACAUACUUACAAGACAUUUAUUGCAUAGUCAAACCAUGGAUCCAAAUAAACAAAUCAUUAAGUCAAAUCAAGAUGUGCAUGUGUGGCGAAUGAAUGGUGUACGGUGAUGAUGGUGAUAACAAUGGUGAAAGUCUAAUUCUACUUUUUGCUCUUUGAGGGGAUACAUACCUUCCUUGCUUUCUGAAACUUUAUGAGGAGAAUGAGAUGUUCUUCUUUUUCUUUUCUCUCGGGUGGGUAUCCUGUACCCCUAAUUCUACUAUUGGACACUUGUCCAUUUUUACCUCUCGUCUCACUUUUUCUUUACUUUUGAGGUUCCGGGCACUUGCCCCUUUUUAUGUCCUCGUAUCUUUUUUUUAGAACACUCAUCUCUUGGGAUAAUAUAGCAAGUAGUACUAACAAGAUAACUUGAGCAUUUAUUUCACAGGAAAAAACAAUAUUUUUGGUCAUUCUCUCCCGGAUUAGGAGUAGAAUACUUUUUAGGUGAUUCUUGAGAUGAAAAUGGGUGGAUAUAUGUGGAUGGUACUUCCGGAGUAGAAGCAGCAUAUGUGAGUGAACGUGCAAGUGAAUCUUAAUUUAACCACAUGACAAGCUCCUAAGGGUCUACACAACUUGACCACACUCGAUGCUCAUAAGCAAUAAAUAGUAAAUGUGUGGCUCAAAGUCUAGCAAGCAUGUAUAUAUGGCUGUGGUAGGAAUUUAAACUCUCAUCAUACAGGAACUCAUCAUGCAAUAUUUUAAAGAUUUUUCAAAGAUAAAAUUCUCUAGAAUUCUAGCAUCUCUAGGAACAGAUAAACAGCAGCUCAACCUUCCCAUAUCAUAUCCUUUAACAACUUAGACUUCAGAUCAAGUUUUCUUCCCACAAGUUUAGGUUUAGAGCAAGCUUUAAAUUAUAACAGUUAUGUCUAAACUUGAGAGAACUUCAAAUUUUAAAAUUAGGUAGAGCAACUAUUCAUCAUAUCCAUGCUAGAGGUUUAUUAUUAAGAUUCAGAUUAGCAUAGCCACUUUGUUUAUUUAUCAAACACACUAAGUAAAAGGCAUAUAAGCAUAAAAUCUUUAUUUGGUUUUUCAUGGUUAUGUAUAUCUAUAUUUUAAUAUAGUAUAAGUAUAAAGAUAGAUAGAUAGAAAUACUUAUUGGGAUAAAUGGGGGUGCUCUCCCCCAAGCUGAAUUUUGACGUAAUUUCUCUUGAUGUAGCUAGGAUGUGGCAGAGGUGUAUUUGAAAGUCAGCAGCAUUCUGACAGCGAUUACAAUGUCCUCCGUCUGCUAGUCUUCUUGAUUCUUAAAUUAUGUGGAGCUCAAAUAGACAACAAAGCUUGUGGAACUGAUUAAAUGUUAGCAUAAAUAUCUAGCCUUUAUCAUGUUGAGACUCCUCAAUAAAUGUUACUCCCUAUUUUUAUAUUUUCAUUUUAUAAAGCAGAAAAAUAUUUAUUUUAUUUUUAUGCCACCACAGUGAAUGUACUUAUGAGUUUUAUGCCACUCGUAUACUCACAUGGGGCUUACUGUUUUUCACAUUUUUAUUUUCUUUUUAGGAUAGUAUGAACAUAAUUAACUAAGUAGACUAUUUGAAAUAAUUGAAAGGGAAAUGAUAACUACCAAGUUUACCUCUUGGCAAGGCGUUCGGUGUUUUUAAGUCCUCCGAACGGGACUCUCCUCUUUCUCAAUUGUCCUGGGAUUCGUUGGGUGGCGUAGUCGGUACUUACAGCAGCGCCUCCUCUUCAUGCAUAGUUAUCUUCUCUUUCCAUACCUGACUCGGUGCUACGGUCUCCUCUGGAUAAUUCUGUUUAAACUGUACGUCUCCUGACCUUACAACUUCUCCUUCAUAGUCUGACCCAUCCAUCCUUGAUGAUUUCCCUCCUCUGGUUGCGGUUGCGUCGUUUUCUGACCUGCUUAGAUUCUUCAAAGAUGUAAUUAGGGUCAGUAAAACAACGGCGUACCAUCUCUGAGGGGAAGUGCAUAUGGACUUCUCCGGUUCCAAUGUAGAUGAUUGCUUUAACGGUGCUGAGGAACGGUCUUCCAAGGAUGAUGGGUGGAUCGUAUUCGUCUUCUCCCAUGUCAAUAACCAGAAAGUCUAUGUAGACAAAAUGAUCAUCUAUUUUGACAGGGACAUCAGUUACUGUUCCUUUAACUUCUCAAAACAUAUGAUCUGCCAUCUGGAGCUGAAUGUAUGUUGGUUUUAAGGGCAUGGUUCCGAACAAGAGCCAAUAGGUGACUGCGGCCAUUAUGUUGUCGCCUGAUCCAGUGUCGCAAGUCAUCUUGUAGAAGUUGUAUCCAUUUAGGGAGCAAUAGAUGCUUGGCAUUCCUGGGUCGUCCUUCUUGGUCAAAAAUGGUGACUUAAGUUGUUGAUUUUGGCCUCCAUGAACUACAGUGACCAUCUUAGCUGACUCGGUCCACACUUGCUUGUUCAUGUUCCUCCUGUUGGUCCUCUUCCUUGAUUUAUGUCUGGAUUGAUCUGGCAUUUGUGUAAUCUUGUUCUUGAAGAAAACAUCUCCUUCCUCCCUUUGAUGUAGAAACUGAUCUUGGCAGCACUGGCGUAGAUGACAGCUCCUGAGGUGUUUAAGAAUGGCCUCCCUAGGAUGAUAGGUGCUCUCUCAUCAUUGCCAGUCUCUAUCACCACGAAUUCUGCUGGGGCAUAUAAGGUACCAACUCGGACACAAAGGUUCUUCAAUAUUCCUUUUGGAAAACCUUGAUUUAUGUCUGGAUUGAUCUGGCAUUUGUGUAAUCUUGUUCUUGAAGAAAACAUCUCCUUCCUCCCUUUGAUGUAGAAACUGAUCUUGGCAGCACUGGCGUAGAUGACAGCUCCUGAGGUGUUUAAGAAUGGCCUCCCUAGGAUGAUAGGUGCUCUCUCAUCAUUGCCAGUCUCUAUCACCACGAAUUCUGCUGGGGCAUAUAAGGUACCAACUCGGACACAAAGGUUCUUCAAUAUUCCUUUUGGAAAACUUAAUCCUGAUCUGCAAACUGCAAACACAUGGUUGUCUCUAAUAAAGGAUAUGUAAAGAAUUUUUCAUAGAGUACCCUAGGCAUAAUGUUGACACUAGAGCCAAAGUCGCAGAGUGCUUCUGGGACGUCCACCAUGCCGAUGGCGAUCGGGAUGACGGGGCGUCCUGGAUCACCUGUCUUGACCAGCAGAAGGUCAGUAGUAACUUCAGUGACGGGGUUACUCCAAUUAUUACCUGCAUCAAACAUGUCUACAAGAUUUGCAGUUUCUAAUCCUCCCGGUUGUCAUGGUAUACCGGGGUUAGUAGCAGGAACAGCAGCAGCUAUUUGAUUUAAUUGAGAUUCAAUCAUUUUAUUAAAGCUAAUUUGAUUCUUGAUGGCAGUAGAGAUAUUAUCCAUUCUAUUAUUUAUAUUUUCUAGCAUUUUAUCAUUUGAUGCCAAUUUCUUAGAUAGGUUAUCCAUUAGCUUUCCUUGAUUAGACACUAACUCUCUCAGAGGUGGAAAAUUAUUAUUAUUGUUGUAAGAAUUGUUACCUUGAUAAUUACCUGAGUAGUUAGGCCUCUGUUGAUUCCAACCUUGAUUUUGUUGAGGACGGUUGUAGUAGUUAUUGUUGUUAUUGUUGAUGUAGUUCACAUCCUCAAGCAUCUCAGGGCAGUGAUUGCCUGAGUGUCCAGUGUCUCCACACUCCUCACAAGUCAUGUGAGAGUCGUAGAUGUGCAUAACUUCUUUCUUAUCUCCAGCUCUAUCAUCAAGCUUCUUAAUGAGCGGGUCUAGCUUUGCAGACAACAUGUCUACCUCCUUGAGCUGAUGCAUACCUCCACCUCUCUUGCGUGUCUGGGUCCUCUCUUCAUUCCAGCCUUGGUUGGACGCCAUCUUCUCCACAAGAGCUGUGGCUUGUGGUAUGGUGAGUGAUAAGAAUGCUCCUCCAGCUGCAGCAUCCAUGGUCUCUCAGGCACUGUUGCCGAGCCCAUGAUAAAACGUCUGCAUUAGUAGCCAACUCUCCAUUCCAUGACGGGGACAUUCUAGGAUGUAGUCUUGGAAGUGCUCCCAUGCUUCUGGAAUGGAUUCAUCAUUUUAUUGUUGAAAACUUGUAAUCUUCCAACGGAGAGCAUUGGUCUUGCCCAUGGGAAAGAACUUAGCCAGGAAGUUUGUUGAGCAGAGUGCCCACGUAGUAUUCUUCUCCUUUGUAGCGUAAAACCACUGCUUCGCUCUCCCUAACAGUGAGAAUGGGAAGAGGCGAAGUAGUAUAGCAUCUCUGGGGACUCCUGAUAUGGUAAAUGUGUUGCAAAUCUCCAGGAAGUGUUGGAGAUGAGCACUAGCAUCUUCGUGUGCCUUCCCACAGAACUGGUUGGAUUGCACCAUGUGGAUAAGUCUAGGCUUGAGCUCAAAGUUGCCAUCGAUCUCUGCAGCAGGUCCAGUGCGGAUGUUGUCCGUAGUGGGAGCUGAGAACUCACAGAUCAAUUUGUUCGCCAUGGCUUCGAACUCUGAAGACAAGUUCUGGUGAUCUUCUUGAUUGGAUGAAGCUUCUUGUUGUAGUGUUGAUGAUCUCUUCUUGAGUUUGGCUCUUGUUUUUCUGAAUAACGCUUCGGGAUUGUCAACAAAAUUACCUGGAAGAUGUCUUCUAUUCAUACAUUCCCCUACAUAAGAUAAAAUAGAAAAAUAUCGGGGUAAAACUGUAUGAGAGAAUAGAAAAGAUCAAUCAUAUUAGUGAUGCGAAUGAUAACUCAAAAUCCUUUAUUCAUUCCUGAUUAGUAAUCAACCUUCCCCGGCAACGGCGCCAAAAAUGCUUGUUGGGUAUUCUUAAAAUCAUUACCAAAAGUAGACUUAGUUUUUUAAUUCUGAUAACGGUGCUAAAAAUGCCAAACCUAUCUCUCAUACCACUUAAGCCAAGUUGUCAUCCCGAGCAUGACAUGAGAGAUGCGGUAUUGAAAUAUUCAAUUGCUCUUCUAAAUAAAUAAUGAAUGGGAUAUGCAAGCGCACAGAUUAAUACUGAUGUAGCAUUUUAACCGGGAAGUAUUCCAGGUAUCGUUAUUUAUAUUUUUACCACUGGGAAGGGAUUAACAAUCAUCAAUAUUGAUUACAGAAUAGAAUAUGAGAUUGAGUAUCUAUCAUUGCAUGUAUAAUUGAGAACAUUUAUCUAACUCUUUCAUACAGGGAUAAGUGUCACAUAAAAGAUAUAUGAAGUAAUGAAUAGUGACAAAGAUAAUUAAUCUGAUCAGCAUAACUUAGCCACAUAUAAAUAUGAUAAGCACCUCAAUUAGAUACUCUAGAAAGUCAUUAGCAUGGUAUUAGAACGAACUACAAGAAUAUUUCCUAAGUUAUUCUCAACUAUAUAGUCUAGCUUUAUCAUAGUUAGUGCAAGCAUACUUAGCAAUCAUUGUGAGACAAGACUACGCCCAUGCAUAGUGAUAUUAGCAAGGUAAAUCAGAAACAUAGCAAUCACUCCCCUGUAAUAAUGUUGCUCUGCCAGCCCAAUACACGAGAGGGGGACUAUAUAAGAAUAAAUGAAGCUGUCACUAUCACGAACUACCCCACGAUCUGGCAUAUUGGGUACAAUCGCAGAUAGAUACGGUAUAAGCACCACGCCUACACAGUAUCUAUCAUUUACCCAUGGAUCCGAUGGAUAAACACUAUACGAUCCUAAACAUGUAUAUAGAUCCAAUCUAACUAAGCCAAGUAUAUAACUAUGAUAAACUAAGAACAAUAUAAUCUUGAAUAUAAGCAAGUAGAGCAAAGUCAUAAGCAAUAUAUUGAAAUAGAACAAAGUCAUAUUCAUAAUAUUGAAGAACAAAGAUAAUUAGAAGAACAAUUAGAAGCACAAUUAGAGAAUUACCAAGAAUCCUCUUGACAGAUCUGGAAACCAAUCAAAGAUUGACUCCUUCUAGUUCUAAUCCUAUGUAGCUAUGCUAAUCUAGAUAUCUAAUUGAUGGGGUGGCUCUAAUCUUGAUCAAAGGCUACUUCUCCCUUGAGGAAUAAUGUAUUAGGGUUGAGAGGCUCUCUCCUCCAGGGGCCAGGGGGUCUGGUUUUAUAGUCCCUUCAAGUGAAUAUGGGCCAUUGGAUCAAACCGACAUUAAUUGAACGGUUAUCCUUGAUCCUUUAGGUCAGUGGAGAUCUUUCCCGAGAGAGAGUCCUGUUUGGACUCCACAGGGGGGCGGGCGCCCUGGUCUCCUAGGCGGGCGCCCAGGGCCAGGCCCCGUUCGGCCUCGGCUUCCUUCCCGUGGCUUCUGGAGUCUUCUAGAAGUAAGAUAAUUGCACGACACGUUGAUAUCUCUAUGUAAUCCCAACGUGUGGGCCUUUCUUCCGUAUUCCCUGAUAACCCCCUACAGAAAUAGACAAACACCAAAAGUCGUGGAAUUCUAUCAGAUAAAACCCUAAGUCUGGAUGUUGAUUUCAUUUGGAUCCUUUUCUUUGUUUAUUUGAUAAUUAGAUUUGAUACUUAAGGACCGUCAACAAACUCCCCCAAGCUUACCUCUUGCUCGUCCUUGAGCAAGGAUAAUCUCAGCGAUGGAUCAGAAGUUGUUGCAAUAUCUUUGAAAAUUGACGGUACACAUGCUUUUUAAAUAAGAUCUCAUCUCUGAGUUAGAGUAAACUAUCAAGACUUAAAACUUACUUACUUUACCUUCACCAUGGGACUUGUAACCGUCACUUCUGUCUUGAGUAGUUAAAAGAUAGAACAGUCUAGUCAAGUGUCGUGUCUCUUAUUCUUGAUCAGCUAUAGCUCUGGAGUUUUUGCAGAUUUUCAAAUAAAACUCAGAGAUUCCUUGUAUGACUGUCUCAGAUCUCUCUUUUACGUUAUUUCUAGAUCCUUACCAAGGCAGUGAUGGUAUAUGCCUUCUCUCAAAAUAUGUGGUAUUUAUGGUAUAAAGCAUAAUGACAUUGCUUUCUCUCUCACCCUACUCUAAUAAGGCUUUAAUAUCUGGAGCUCAUAGGUGGGAGAUAAAGUAUACAUACUUACAAGACAUUUAUUGCAUAGUCAAACCAUGGAUCCAAAGAAACAAAUCAUUAAGUCAAAUCAAGAUGUGCAUGUGUGGCGAGUGAAUGGUGUAUGUUGAUGAUGGUGAUAACAAUGGUGAAAGUCUAAUUCUACUUUUUGCUCUUUGUGGGG